rnacentral:lncRNA from 1 species
AAAGCAUUUACUUUUUGUCCUACAAAUCAUACUCUUCCUGAAGAGAACUUUGAGGGUUAUGAGAAUAUGAAGAAUUCUUUUUGCUUUAAGAUUUUAAAGUUUGAGAGACAAAGAACCUUUGCUAUUUGUCCUGGUUUCAGUUAGCACAGAAUUAAUUUUCUUCCUAGUAGCUGGUGGAAUGCUGUGUUUUGGCUUAGGAUGAGAAGAGUGCUGAUAACACCCCGAUGCUUUAAUUGUUGCAGAGCAGUGCUUAUACUAAGCCAAGGACAUCUCAGCCUUUUGCUCUGUCCUGCCAACGGGCAGGCUGGGGGUGCAGUAAGAGCUGGGAGGGGACAGACCCAGGACAGGUGACCCAAACUAGCCAAAGGGGUAUUCCAUACCAUCUGACGUCAUGCUAAACAAUAUAUAGGGGUGGCUAGCUGGGGGGAGGGGGCCGGACUGCUCGGGGUUAGGCUGGGCAUCGGUCAGCGGGUGGUGAGCAAUUGCAUUGUACAUCACUUGUUUGUACAUACUAUUACUUUCGUAUUAUCACCAUUGUAUCAUUAUUAUUAUUAUUAUUGUUAUUAUUAUUUUUGUUAUUAUUAUUUUCCUGUCUUAUUAAACUGUCUUUAUCUCAACUCACGGGCUUCACUCUCCAUUUCUCUCCCCCGUCCCAGAGAGGGAGGGGGGAGGGUGAGCGAACGGCUGCGUGGUGUUUAGCUGCCGGCCGGGUUAAACCAUGACACUAUUACAAGUGGGAAUGCAGAAGUCGGAUGGAGAUGUCAAUUUACUAGGAAAAAACAGAUUAAAAAAAUGGAGAUGCAAAGUCAGUGUACUUUUAAAAUGAUGAUUAAUCAUACUAGUGCAGCCCACUCAACAUUCCAUUUAUACUUCAAAACCUUGGCAGUUUUUAAUCUGAUGGUUUAAUAUUACUUAUUUAUUUGUUUGUUGGUAUCAGUUUGCAUUCAACAGUGCAUCUGUUCUGGGACUCUGUACAGAUGCUUGCCUGCUGUCUCAUCGCCAAACUGGAUGUGGUCCCACCUCAACAGCGUGAGCACUGGGAAAGCAAACAAUCAGGAAGAACUUCUGUUCUCCCAAUCAUGGGCAGAUUGAAUGGAUAUCAGAAGUUACUUGUGAUGUCCAUGUACACAAGAGGAAACAAGAUACUCCUCUGAGCCAGGAACAUGAGACAAGUGAGCAUUCUGUCUUUUAUGUCCUCUGACACCUUUUGUGUAAUAACAAGCCUUGUCUGCCUCAAGAUACUGCCUGGUGUCUGAGUGCAUAAUCAGGAGAUACAAAUCUGACACGGUUCACAACUCUGUCUUUCCUUCAUGUCUGAGGCCGGAUCUGUGUUGAAACAACAGAAAAGCUCUGCAGAAUGGAUGCAGGUUGGAAACUCUCCCAUGCAUGCAGAUUGGAGACCCUGGCCAGACUCAGCCUGAUUCAUCACUCAACUUGAAGUGAAACCUUGUGCCAUAGAAUAAUAGAAUCAUAGAAUUUUGUAUUGUUUUUAUAUUGCUUCAAGCUUAGUAGCUCAGAGUCAAUCACAUGCCAUUCUGCCUGCAUUUUCUUAGAAGCAACUUUGUUUUUAUUUUAUUUUAUUUUAUUUUAUUUUAUUUUAUUUUAUUUUAUUUUAUUUUAUUUUAUUUUAUUAUUUUUUGAAAUAAAGACCCCACAGUCCUUUGGCA